ACAGCCAAGGCGCCCUCUACCUCCCCCUCCUCCAGUCUACGCUCAAUUUUGUCAGCCUCGACGGGUAUUGCCAAAGAUAUUUGCACCACAUCAUUCUCAUCCAGCAUUGAUUCGACGUGCACAGAGUCUUCGUUGUCCUCGCACAAAGUCAGCCUUUUAUGAACAGAGGCAUGAGACUGACUUGCUUCAUAGUAAACCAUGCAGCUCUGAGAAACCCAAUGAGAACAA